rnacentral:siRNA from 1 species
AAAUGACCAAAACGCACCUAAAU